rnacentral:snRNA from 1 species
GAUGCUUUUAUUACUGAGAAAAAAAAAUCUGUUCUUAUCAGUUUAAUAUCUGAUACGUCCCCUAUCUGGGGACCAUAUAUUAAAUGGAUUUUUGGAACAGGGAGAUGGAAGAAGAGCUUGCUCUGUCCACUCCACGCAUCGACCUGGUAUUGCAGUACCUCCAGGACCGGUGCACCUCUC